GUCUGGGUGGCUCAGUAGGUUGAGUGUCUGACUUUGGCUCAGGUCAUGGUCUCACAGUUCGUAGGUUCGAGCCCUGCGUCAGGCU
rnacentral:tRNA from 1 species